GUGCUCGCUUCGGCAGCAUAUAUAUACUAAAAUUGGAACGAUACAGAGAAGAUUAGUAUGUCCCCUGUGCAAGGAUGACACGCAAAUUUGUGAAGCGUUCCAUAUUUUU
rnacentral:snRNA from 1 species